rnacentral:piRNA from 1 species
UAGCUGUUCUCUAAAGGAGUACCUAACAGAAU